CUUCGGGGGACAAAGUGACAGGUGGUGCAUGGUUGUCGUCAGCUCGUGUCGUGAGAUGUUGGGUUAAGUCCCGCAACGAGCGCAACCCUUAAGCUUAGUUGCCAUCAUUAAGUUGGGCACUCUAAGUUGACUGCCGGUGACAAACCGGAGGAAGGUGGGGAUGACGUCAAAUCAUCAUGCCCCUUAUGAUUUGGGCUACACACGUGCUACAAUGGACAAUACAAAGGGCAGCGAAACCGCGAGGUCAAGCAAAUCCCAUAAAGUUGUUCUCAGUUCGGAUUGUAGUCUGCAACUCGACUACAUGAAGCUGGAAUCGCUAGUAAUCGUAGAUCAGCAUGCUACGGUGAAUACGUUCCCGGGUCUUGUACACACCGCCCGUCACACCACGAGAGUUUGUAACACCCGAAGCCGGUGGAGUAACCUUUUAGGAGCUAGCCGUCGAAGGUGGGACAAAUGAUUGGGGUGAAGUCGUAACAAGGUAGCCGUAUCGGAAGGUGCGGCUGGAUCACCUCCUUUCUAAGGA
rnacentral:rRNA from 2 species